UUAGACAUGUGUGUUUUAGUCGGAACUGA
rnacentral:sRNA from 1 species